CAUCGUAAGUUAGAAGUUCCUGAUUAUCAUUGGUCUACGAGAGCAAAGAUACAUGAUGAUUUAUGUUCAUGAGGACAUUUAGGAAAGAAUGAAAGCUUGCGGUUUCACUUUCAAGAGAGUGUAUCAAUCUGGAUAUGACAUUAAUGGCUACGUCUUGUGACCUCCCUGGAGAUAUUCMACAGGAAUCAUGUCAAGAUUUUCCUUCUUUUGCAACUUAAAUUUAAAACAAAGAAAAAAUUCCUAYAUUUUUAAAAAUAACUAGUGAAUACACUGAGGUUCAAGAAACUAAA